GAUGAACGCUGGCGGCGUGCUUAACACAUGCAAGUCGAACGAAGCACCUCUCCCGAAGAUUGACACAGCUUGCUGUAGAUUGAUUCAUUUGAGGUGACUGAGUGGCGGAUGGGUGAGUAACGCGUGGGUAACCUGCCUCAUAGAGGGGGACAACAGUUGGAAACGACUGCUAAUACCGCAUAGUAAGAAGAAUUCGCAUGUUUUCUUCUUGAAAGAUUUAUCGCUAUGAGAUGGACCCGCGUCUGAUUAGCUAGUUGGUAAGGUAACGGCUUACCAAGGCGACGAUCAGUAGCCGGCUUGAGAGAGUGAACGGCCACAUUGGGACUGAGACACGGCCCAAACUCCUACGGGAAGCAGCAGUGGGGAAUAUUGCACAAUGGGGGAAACCCUGAUGCAGCGACGCCGCGUGAGUGAAGAAGUAUUUCGGUAUGUAAAGCUCUAUCAGCAGGGAAGAUAAUGACGGUACCUGACUAAGAAGCCCCGGCUAACUACGUG
rnacentral:rRNA from 1 species